rnacentral:lncRNA from 1 species
UUCCUAACUAUGUCUCUGCCUAACCCAAAACUCCAAAUCGCGACCCGUCUCCGCCCUCUCCAUUGUGCCUUGUAGAUCUAUACCUUGUCGCCACCUUGUCUCUUUGUCAUGCCCUGUCGCUACCUUGUCACUGGUCUCGAAAUUGAGGCUCUCUUCUCUCAAAUUGGAGAAGUCUAUUCUCAAAUUAAAACUCUCUGCUCUCAAAUUUCCGUAGGUAUGUUAUACCGUAAAUUUCUGUAAUAGAUUGUUAUAGAAACUUUGCUCUAUUUCUCUCAAAUUGAAGCAUCCAAAUAAUUUCUCUUAUUUUCUCAAUUUGGAACCCUAAUUUCUUCUUUGUUAUUUUCCGCUUUGUUGCUCAUCACAGGAAUAGCCUUAUCUCGCUCUGUAGUCAAAUUUGUUGAAAAUGUACUAAUUAUAUGCCCUACUUUUCUGUUUUCCUUAAUAAUUUCUACUAUUUUUAUACUUCACCUGCUCCUAAUUUUCUGUUGUUAAUUGCGUAUGCUUUUGUGUCUUCAUAAUUGCUGCUAACCAGGUAUAUUCAUUCAUAUUCGUUACUAUUUCCACAAUAAUAGUAUUUAUAUGUUUUGUUAGUUGUUGACCUGAAUUCCAUAGAUAAACUUGUUAUUUAGUUGCUGACUUACUUCUUCAUUUUUAGAUAGUGCUUAAUUUUCUUUCCUUGAAAUUUUCUUGUAAAAACUUUGCAUCAGGGGUCAGGGCAUCCCUGUCUAUCAACUCAAAUUUGUUAGUAUAUGUCACUAACAAAUGUUUAGUCUUUUCCAGUAACAUGAAUCUUCAUCUAGUAAGUAUAUAUGCGAUAAAGUGACUAGACCAUGUCUUUUAAGUAUUUUCUGCAAUAUUCUACUUGACCGGUCAUAAUGGUAGUUUAUAAUCUUCCACCUUCUAUGUGUAUGAAUGAUCUUUUCAUGUUUAUGACAUUACUAAUUGCAAGAGAAAAGAUUCAUGGAAAUGACAUAAAUGUAUAUUUGAGACCAUUUGUACUAUCAGUACUGCUUAUGUUGUUUGGUUCUAACCCCCUACCCCAGUUGUUGGAUUUUUGUGCUAGAAUGUAUCUAAACAUGUGUAGGAGCUUUUUAUUAUAAUUAUCUCUACAGAAGAGUGUCUUUUGAACGAUCAAAAUAGUUGCAUCAUGUUCAGUGUUUUCUAAAAGUUUUCUCAUGUUCUAUUUUUUAUAUAUUUUUUUGUUAGACUGUUAGAUAGCUCCCUAUGUAAAGCGUGGUGGUAGACGAGGGGGUGGUCAGGGCAGUGGACGAGGGAAUGGAAGAGAUGAUGGACGAGAGGAUGCACAUACUGAUGAUGGAAGAGAUGAAGCUCUUACUUGAUGGGGACGAGAGUUUUGGGACAAAGGGUUAAUAUCACACAGAUAAUUCUCACGCAAAACUCAAUCAAUUCAUCAUUCGAUGUCUCCAAAUAAUGAAGUGCAUCACUAUUUAUAAUACUCCUAAACAACUUUCCUAACCUAAAUUAGACUCUAAUACGAUAACUACAAAUUAAAUAAAUUAAUUAAAAUACAACUUAUUAUUCAUAUAGGCUUCUAAAGCCUUUUAUAUUGUUCUAACCAAUUUUUACGGAUUCAUCCUACAUCAUUUCUCCUCCACUGAAAAUAACUUGACUCCGUUGAGUUAUCAGCACAAGAAUAAUCACGUCGCAUCACCAAGGUAGUCUUUGCAAGCUUCAAAUUUGACAUGUCGAGAGCGCAAGUAAGAGUGAAUUUGGUAUUGGCUUUGAUAAUCGAAUAGAUAUUAGCACAAGCAUCAUCUGGCGCGUGACGAUCCCAUAGCCAUUUAUGCCCUAAGAUAAUGUGACAAACCUUAAGGGGUAGAACAUCACACAUAACGGUAUCUGUAAGCUUGCCAACAAAAAAUGUAACCAAACACCGCUGGGUAACCCAUAACUUUAUAUUGGUAACCCACGCAAUAUCAUACGGCUCUGGUUGAGGCUCAACUUUUAACCCAAGUUUCUUAAUUGCUUCCUCAAAGAUAACAUCCGUAAAACUCCCAGUAUCAAUUACAAGAGAGCACACAUGUCCCGCACAUAUGACCUUCGUUUGAAAAAUUUGUCCACGAUGGAUUUUAAGAUCAUCCUUAUGUUUCUGGACAACAAGUAAAGGUCGAAGAACACCUAAACAUCCUUUCAAAUGAGCAUCAACUUCUAAAUCUUGUUUAUCGGGCUCAUAUUCGUCGUCUAUCAGCUUGCAAACCUCUUCGUUUAAGUCAGCUUUUUCACACGCUUUGUCAACAAUAGCAAGUUGCCUAGAGGGG